GGACUACCGGGGUAUCUAAUCCUGUUUGCUCCCCACGCUUUCGCGCCUCAGCGUCAAAAAUGGGCCAGAUGGCCGCCUUCGCCACCGGUGUUCUUCCCAAUAUCUACGAAUUUCACCUCUACACUGGGAAUUCCGCCAUCCUCUCCCACCUUCCAGCGCCGCAGUAUCAAGCGCAAUUCCCAGGUUGAGCCCGGGGCUUUCACGCCUGACUUACAGCACAGCCUACGCGCCCUUUACGCCCAGUAAUUCCGAACAACGCUAGCCCCCUUCGUAUUACCGCGGCUGCUGGCAC
rnacentral:rRNA from 1 species